GUGAUUACUUUUAUUAGGGGCCCUGAAUGUAUUUCAUAAGUCAUUAAGCACACAUGAUUUAGAUAAACAAAAGAAUGAGGUAUAAACAGAGGUAAACAUGAGGAACUUUACAUUUAGAACCAAAAAAAGGAAAACUUAUGAAAUUCUGUAUAUCAGUAACAACUAUUUAAACUAUAGGAUCGUGUAGAAGUCUAACUUUUUAUGCUUAAGAAAUACUUUAUUAGCUGGCAUAGCUCUGAUAAAAUCAGGAAUCUGAGAAAUAUCUGACAGGAUUUGAUAUUUAUAAAUUAAAUUUCUCUUCAUUCAGUUGCUUCUGAGUAGUAAGGUCUAUGAUUUCCAAGUGCCAAAUGGUAAUUCAGUAUAAAAAUAUACAUACCAUGGAAACGUUCUUUACGAGCUUGUUUUAUGGCUUUUGGCCAAUCCUGGUGGGAAGUCUACAGAAGAAUUCAAUUCUGCUUUUUC
rnacentral:lncRNA from 1 species